rnacentral:misc_RNA from 1 species
AAGUCGUAACAAGGUAACCGUAGGUGAACCUGCGGUUGGAUCAUUACAGAGAAAAUGAGGAGAUCGAGCGAAAGAAGGAAGCUUCUUUUGCAAGACUCGGAACAAGCAAACUUUAUGUGAACUGUGCUGUCCCUGGCGGCUGGGCAAAGGUGGGCAUGCUCCGUGUGGGGCCAUGCCUCUCUUGCCUGUCAGCUUAUUGCGCCCUUGUGGCGUGUGAGCCGUGGACAAACCGCCAACCGUUUGAACAUGUCUUGGGGCUGUUUUUGACUGAUUAGUUUCGUUUUAACGAGAACAUACAACUUUUGGCAACGGAUCUCUUGGCUCUC